rnacentral:tRNA from 1 species
CCCCCUGUAGCUCAACGGUAGAGCAUUCGGCUGUAGACCGAAGGGUUGCUGGUUCAAAUCCGGCCGGGGGGA